GCGCGAAAACUUUACAAUGCUGGCAACAGCGAUAAGGGAACCUCGAGUGCCAGGUUACGAAUCAGGCUGUCGAGAUGCCUAAAAAGCAUUUCAUAGCAAGGGCCGGGCAAGACCGGUGCCAGCCGCCGCGGUAACACCGGCGGCUCGAGUGGUAACCGUUAUUAUUGGGUCUAAAGGGUCUGUAGCCGGCCGGAUAAGUCUCUUGAGAAAUCUGGCAGCUUAACUGUCAGGCUUUCAGGAGAUACUGUCUGGCUCGAGGCCGGGAGAGGUGAGAGGUACUUCAGGGGUAGGGGUGAAAUCUUGUAAUCCUUGAAGGACCACCAGUGGCGAAGGCGUCUCACCAGAACGGACCUGACGGCAAGGGACGAAAGCUAGGGGCACGAACCG
rnacentral:rRNA from 1 species